GGGGAGAUACCCAAGCGGUCAACGGGGGCAGACUGUAAAUCUGCUGGCGUACGCCUUCGCAGGUUCGAAUCCUGCUCUCCCCACCA
rnacentral:tRNA from 1 species